rnacentral:rRNA from 1 species
UACGUAGGGUGCGAGCGUUAAUCGGAAUUACUGGGCGUAAAGCGUGCGCAGGCGGUUUUGUAAGCCAGAUGUGAAAUCCCCGGGCUUAACCUGGGAAUGGCAUUUGGGACUGCAAGGCUCGAGUGCGGCAGAGGAGACUGGAAUUCCUGGUGUAGCAGUGAAAUGCGUAGAUAUCAGGAGGAACACCGAUGGAGAAGGCAGGUAGCUGGGCUGACACUGACGCUCAUGCACGAAAGCGUGGGGAGCAAACAGG